GACGAGUGUCGCGGAUUCUUUGACUCAAGUAAUGCCAAGUUUGAUUUGAUUCCAAAAACAACGUGCAGAGUAAUGAUUCCAUGUAGUAUUAAGAAACGGAUAGAACAGAUGGGCUUAUGAAAAGUAUCUUCUCCUAGACAUCUUGGCUGAGGAAUGUCACCUGAGGCUUUGUGGCGGUUUCCAUUCUGGAGCUGAGGGAAGAAUGGAAG